GGAGGGUGUAUUUCUCAGACAGACUGUACGCUGAGGAUGAGCUCCCAGCAGAGUUUAAACUCUACCUGCCUGUCCAGAACCAGAAGGCCAAACAGUAGAUCCUGUCAGCCUGCACUGUUCCCCCCUGACGUGAUGUGGAUGUUGGACUUUCUCUGUGUAGACGUGUGGUGGACUUUGAAACAUUGGGAUAUUGUAAUUUUGGAGCCAUGAGUUUUGAGUACAGUCUUGUGUUGCUUUCUGCACAAUAAAACUUUUUUUAUGGA